rnacentral:snoRNA from 1 species
AUAUCAUGGUGUGGACAUUUUCUUAACAUUGCCUUUAAACUUUCCCAAGCUUGAUAAACUGACUCUGUGUCAGUCUGCAAAAAAUUAGAUAUAUUUUGUCUUAACUU